UACAGAGGUCUCAAGCGUUGUUCGGAUUCAUUGGGCGUAAAGGGCGCGUAGGCGGCCUGGCAAGUGACGGGUGAAAUCCCACGGCUCAACCGUGGAAGUGCAUUCGAAACUGCAGGGCUAGAGUCCUGGAGAGGAAGGUGGAAUGCUUGGUGUAGAGGUGAAAUUCGUAGAUAUCAAGCGGAACACCGGUGGCGAAGGCGGCCUUCUGGACAGUGACUGACGCUGAGACGCGAAAGCGUGGGGAGCAAACAGG
rnacentral:rRNA from 1 species